CAGUAGAGGUAGCUAGGACCUAAAACGAUUUAAGACCUAGAAUACAGUACUUCAGCGAAUUUAAGACUUUUUAAGGCCUAUAAUUUUGAUUUUGAAAUUUUAGACUUUUUA